GCGGUAGCUACACCAGACUGGUUGGUGAGAGCGGAUUAUCUCAAUUCUCUUGCCUCUGGGGCAAUGUUUGCUCACCAGCCAGAGAAGCUAACUGAGGCUAUUCUGGGUGUUGUCACUGGUAAAUUAUAAUGAUGGGGACAUCAUUUGUUGGGGAGGGGAAGUGUGUGGCAGGUAUGAAGUCAUGUAAGGUUUGGUUCGUUUGAAGUUGUCAUUGUUUAUAGUUUUAACGCAAGCAGUAUCAUUUUUAAGCGUUAGUCUAUGGUUAUUUUUAGAUCUUGCCUAGUCCAUUACGGGUAUAAGGGGUGUCAAGAGAUUGUGUCAUCGCUUGUGUUGUGCCCUUUGACUUGCUUGGCCCCUUGUGUUGAUUGGUUCUUUUAAAACACUAAACAUUACUUGCACGUCAGCCAUUGCACUUCACUUCAAUCCGAUCGCAGUUCAGAGCAUAAAACAACUAACACGUCCGAUCUAAAGGGUGUCUGUCAAUAAAGAAUAGAUCUCACAACCCGUAA